GAUGAACGCUGGCGGUGUGCCUAAUACAUGCAGGUCGAGCGAACAGACGAGGAGCUUACUCCUCUGACGUUAGCGGCGGACGGGUGAGUAACACGUGGAUAACCUACCUAUAAGACUGGGAUAACUUCGGGAAACCGGAGCUAAUACCGGAUAACAUGUUGAACCGCAUGGUUCAACAGUGAAAGACGGUCUUGCUGUCACUUAUAGAUGGAUCCGGGUCGCAUUAGCUAGUUGGUAAGGUAACGGCUUACCAAGGCAACGAUGCGUAGCCGACGUGUGAGGGUGAUCGGCGACACUGGAGCGUAGACACGGUCAAGAGUCCUGCGAGAGGCAGCAGUAGGGAAUCUGACGCAAUGGGCGAAAGCCUGACGGAGCAACGCCGCGUGAGUGGAGGAGGUCUUCGGAGCGUAAUAACCUGUUACGAGUGAAGAACAAAUGUGUAAUGAGCUAUGCACGUCGUGACGGUACCGAAUCAGAAAGCCCCGGCUAACUACGUG
rnacentral:rRNA from 1 species